rnacentral:antisense_RNA from 1 species
CUGUCGGUCGGCGGCUAAGGAUGGGAGGCACCUGCAUCUGGGGCGCGGCGAAUCCUCGCGUGCGCCAGGCCGCCUGGGGUAGUCGCCGAGACUGCGCCGGCCAGCGGGGCCGAAACCUAAUCAGGAGCUGAGCUUUGAUGGCGGCUUCUGGAGGGACAAAGAAGGCGCAGAGCGGUGGGAGGAGGCUGCGAGAACCUAGCUCCCGCCCCAGCCGACGUGCGAGACAAAGGCCCUGUCGCGGGGCUCUUCGGAAGGCCGGGAGGUUCCUGUGACAAUGCGAGUCUGCGCCCCACGCUCCCGCACCGUGAUGCCGAGGCCAAAUGGCUAGAGUGGGCCCAGGCAUCAGCAUUUCUGUUUGGCAGCCGGGCAGUUGUGGUGCACGUUUUGAGGAACUACUAAAGCCUGCCUGUGAUAAAAAAGGCAAAAGCUGACUUCACCAAAAUUACUCCCAGGGAGACUUCUGCAUUUGGCUGGAAGGACAUUUGAGUAACCCGCUGAGGCUGGUGGUUGAAACAUAAUCCUCUAAGGGAGAUCGGUUCCGAUACCCUGAGUUAGGGACGCUUGCCUGGGCAGAGCUAAGGGGAGAAUGAUCAAAAGCCAAGCUCUGUCCGCGUCAGCACGUCACCCUCCCUCACUGUAAUCCUUGACUGUUUCUCUAAAUGAAGAAUUAUUUAGAGAAUAUAAAUUAGAAGGGCCGCCACGUCAGAAUUGCCUGAGUGGGAGCAGCCUUUCCAGCCUCGAAAAAUGUUUAAGCAAUAGGCAGAUGACCUAGCACAAAUAAAGAAUGCUAGCAACCGCUGUUAUGUGUGGGCGGUGGAAUUGGGAGGGCUCCUCCCCCAAUCUUCAUCAAACAGAGUAAGGUUUAGAAUAAAAAUAAUGAAAUACAGUCUUUCAAAAAGA